rnacentral:misc_RNA from 1 species
CGACGCCCACGAGCGCCUUUGACGCCUUCGACGCGCACGAUGCCAUGUGCUCCUUGAAGAGCACGACUUUCGGGUCGUCGGGUGAGCGGUCUCGUGCAGGCG